rnacentral:rRNA from 1 species
GCAGCAGCCGCGGGAAUACGAAGGGUGCAAGCGUUACUCGGAAUUACUGGGCGUAAAGCGUGCGUAGGUGGUGGUUUAAGUCCGUUGUGAAAGCCCUGGGCUCAACCUGGGAAUUGCAGUGGAUACUGGGUCACUAGAGUGUGGUAGAGGAUAGUGGAAUUUCCGGUGUAGCAGUGAAAUGCGUAGAGAUCGGAAGGAACAUCUGUGGCGAAGGCGACUAUCUGGGCCAACACUGACACUGAGGCACGAAAGCGUGGGGAGCAAACAGGAUUAGAUACCCGCGUAGUCCCUGUCUCUUAUAC